rnacentral:rRNA from 1 species
UACGAAGGGGGCGAGCGUUUGUUCGGAAUCACUGGGCGUAAAGGGGUGCGUAGGCGGGCAGGUAAGUCCGUGGUGAAAAUCUCUGAGCUUAACUCAGAAACUGCCAUGGAUACUAUUUGUCUUGAAUAUUUGUGGAGGUAAGCGGAAUAUGUCAUGUAGCGGUGAAAUGCUUAGAUAUGACAUAGAACACCAAUUGCGAAGGCAGCUUACUACACAGUUAUUGACGUGAGCACGAAAGCGUGGGGAUCAAACAGG